GAGUUUCCAGUGACUAUACCUUGGACGUUUCCAAUAAUAUCAACUUAUACCACCAUAUAUUUUCUCUCCCAUGGCAAUCCGGUGACAUCAAAAGAAUCCAUCUCGAGAGAAUGUCGAUUGCCUGGGUAUUUAUACAAAGGAACUACAAACGUAACAAAAUCGGGUUUAACAUGUCAACGAUGGGAUACACAGAGCCCACACGAACAAAACUAUUACGUUUUUAGUCUUGCACAAGAGAACUACUGUAGAAACUUUGACAGAGAAGAACCUUGGUGUUAUACGAGUAAUUCAAGUGUUCGUUGGGAACUUUGUGCCGUGGACAUUUGUAGGUCGCCUUGUCUUAACCAGUCAUUUUAUACACCACAAAUAAAAUCACAGUGUCUGUCUGCUGAACCAGC